UGUGACGAAGUGGGACUGUUCUUGAUGUUUCCUCCGAGUGGUGGGGGGGUGCCUCGGUUUCCCCUGGGCAGUUCUUGGGUGUCUAGGGGGUGGGGUAAGGGUGUAUGAUCAUUGCAGAGCCCUAGAGGGCAGGUGUGUGCAGGGGUCUGGACACAGAGAAUGGCCGACACCCUGUUUCCUGGCCACUGAUGGCCUGGGCCCUUCCCCCCCUGCAAGGUGAGAGCUGAAGGGUUGGAGAACAAAGGAAUCAGGUGACCUCCUGGCCCGGGAAAGGGACAAAGCCCAGAGGAGGAGGGGCUGGAGGGAGUUUCAGUUUGGGGCUGGCUGGGACAUGGAGUGAAGGGCAGACGUGGUUGUCUGACUCACUGCCCCCAAAAUGGACCCAGCUGAGGGGUCCUGUUCUCUGCACCUACAAGCUCUGUGUUAGACCAUGUUCCUGUCGUCUAAUAAACCUUCUGUUUUACUGGCUG